rnacentral:rRNA from 1 species
CGUGUAGGCGGCCAGGUAGGUCCGUUGUGAAAACUGGAGGCUUAACCUCCAGCUGUCGAUGGAAACCAUCUGGCUAGAGUCCGGAAGAGGAGAGUGGAAUUCCUGGUGUAGCGGUGAAAUGCGCAGAUAUCAGGAAGAACACCCGUGGCGAAGGCGGCUCUCUGGGACGGUACUGACGCUGAGACGCGAAAGCGUGGGGAGCGAACA